UGAAGCGGCACUCGAACCGUCGAUGGCGACUGAGACUCUUGCGGGUCUUGUACGACUUGCCGCACUGAUCGCAGGCGUGCUGAUACCAGAUCGUUGCGCUGCGGCAGGCAGUUGAGUUUUCCAGGACAAGAUACGGAUACGGUUCGGUCGGCUUCAUAGAUAGUAGUAUGUGAUAGUAGGUAGUAGAUAUUGGAGUAGUAGUGGUAGAUGGAGUAGUGGGGUAGUACAACAGUUUGGUUUGUAGAGACAUCUAAAAGAAAUUUAGUAAUAAAAAUAGGUUAGUGAAAAAUUCGCACAAUUUUCGGAUGAAACAAAAAAAAAAAGACAACACUGAACGAGGGCGGGAUGGAAACCAAAAAACAUACACGAAAACGAAAACAUCGAUGGAUCAUGUGGGGUAUGAACAAAGGAUGAGGUGGUGACACGAUGGCAAAUUGGGAAUGAGAAAGGCUAUAAAAAUAAAACUUUCGAUUGCUGCAAUUGAA